UGAGGAAUAUUGGUCAAUGGGCGCGAGCCUGAACCAGCCAAGUCGCGUGCAGGAAGAAUGUCCUAUGGAUUGUAAACUGCUUUUGCAGGGGAAUAAAGUUCGGCACGUGUGCCGUUUUGUAUGUACUCUGCGAAUAAGGAUCGGCUAACUCCGUGCCAGCAGCCGCGGUAAUACGGAGGAUCCGAGCGUUAUCCGGAUUUAUUGGGUUUAAAGGGUGCGUAGGCGGGAUAAUAAGUCAGUGGUGAAAGUUUGCAGCUUAACUGUAAAAUUGCCGUUGAAACUGUUAUUCUUGAGAGUAGAUAAGGUAGGCGGAAUGUGUUGUGUAGCGGUGAAAUGCAUAGAUAUAACACAGAACCCCGAUUGCGAAGGCAGCUUACCGGGCUACAUCUGACGCUGAGGCACGAAAGCGUGGGGAUCAAACAGG
rnacentral:rRNA from 1 species